GUUGCACUGAAUUUCGUGAACUGACAUUUUUUAUUAUUAUUUGUUUUGCACACAAGUUGGGCCCCACAUGUUGUGGCCUACUGUGUGUAUUUCUGUUUUAUAAUAUGACCUUAUUGUGUUGGGCUUGGGCUACAUAUUUUGUAGUCAUUUAGUUGUGACGGCAGAAAUUUGUUAUUAUAUUUAAAAGGGAAGCUCUUAGCAGUUACUAUUUAUAAUCAUCAUAUAUGAGGAUAAAGGCUCCUGCACGCUGUGAUUUACAGUAGCGCCAUCAUUUCUGUCCAAAGGUAUCAGAUAUUUUCAUCAGAUCAUAUUAAUAUACAGUAAAGUAUAGGAGCUCAUUCACAUUAGUAACAUAAGUGUCACUGCCUCACUUGGUCUGGUGUGACCAAUAAAUCUUUCGAUGGCUAAUGCGAGAUAACAUAAGUCACAUGCUAGUAUACUUUUAUUACACUUUUUCUACUGGUCUUUGUGUUUCAGUAUUGACCAUCAAACAGUAUAUAUGCAUAUAUAGUAUGCAUAAAAACAUAAAAAAGUAGGUGAAGGUGUUUUACUCUCAUAUCCACAGCAGUUAUAAUGACGACUGAAGCUGCUUCUGUUCCUCUGCUAACGUACUGCCAAGCUACGCACAAGCGUCAGUAGUACUUUCAUCAUGGAGUGACAAGAAUAUAAACUUAUGCUAACUAUGACCUAAUCGCGGGCGGCACGGUGGUGCAGUGGUUAGCACUGGCGCCUCAUAGCGACAGGGUUCCAGGAUCGAACCCCGAGCCUUCUAUGUGCAGUUUACAUGUUCUCUCCGUGCCAGGA